rnacentral:rRNA from 1 species
UACAGAGGUCUCAAGCGUUGUUCGGAUUCAUUGGGCGUAAAGGGCGCGUAGGCUGCGGGGCAAGUCGGGUGUGAAAUCUCAGAGCUCAACUCUGAAACUGCACUCGAUACUGCUUUGCUUGAGGACUGGAGAGGAGAUUGGAAUUCACGGUGUAGCAGUGAAAUGCGUAGAUAUCGUGAGGAAGACCAGUGGCGAAGGCGGAUCUCUGGACCGAUACUGACGCUGAGGAGCGAAAGCGUGGGGAGCGAACAGG